GACGAACGCUGGCGGCGUGCCUAAUACAUGCAAGUCGAGCGGACAGAAGGGAGCUUGCUCCCGGAUGUUAGCGGCGGACGGGUGAGUAACACGUGGGUAACCUGCCUGUAAGACUGGGACAACUCCGGGAAACCGGAGCCAAUACCGGAUAGUUCCUUGAACCGCAUGGUUCAAGGAUGAAAGACGGUUUCGGCUGUCACUUACAGAUGGACCCGCGGCACAUUAGCUAGUUGGUGAGGUAACGGCUCACCAAGGCGACGAUGCGUAUCCGACCGGAGAGGGGGAUCGGCCACACUGGGACUGAGACACGGCCCAGACUCCUACGGGAGGCAGCAGUAGGGAAUCUUCCGCAAUGGACGAAAGUCUGACGGAGCAACGGCGCGUGAGUGAUGAAGGUUUUCGGAUCGUAAAGCUCUGUUGUUAGGGAAGAACAAGUGCAAGAGUAACUGCUUGCACCUUGACGGUACCUAACCAGAAAGCCACGGCUAACUACGUGCCAGCCGCCGCCGUAACAC
rnacentral:rRNA from 1 species